rnacentral:rRNA from 1 species
GAUCAUGGCUCAGGAUGAACGCUAGCUACAGGCUUAACACAUGCAAGUCGAGGGGCAGCAUUUUAGUUUGCUUGCAAACUGAAGAUGGCGACCGGCGCACGGGUGAGUAACACGUAUCCAACCUGCCGAUAACUCGGGGAUAGCCUUUCGAAAGAAAGAUUAAUAUCCGAUGGUAUAUUAAGAUCGCAUGAUUUUACUAUUAAAGAAUUUCGGUUAUCGAUGGGGAUGCGUUCCAUUAG